AACACGGUUCGUAGUGACCUGCGGAAGGAUCAUUACCUAGAGUUGUAGGCUUUGCCUGCUAUCUCUUACCCAUGUCUUUUAGCACCUUAUGUUUCCUCGGUGGGCUCGCCCGCCGAUUGGACAAAAUUUAAACCCUUUGUAGUUUGUAAUCAGCGUCUGAAAAAAACUUAAUAGUUACAACUUUCAACAACGGAUCUCUUGGUUCUGGCAUCGAUGAAGAACGCAGCGAAAUGCGAUAAGUAGUGUGAAUUGCAGAAUUCAGUGAAUCAUCGAAUCUUUGAACGCACAUUGCGCCCCUUGGUAUUCCAUGGGGCAUGCCUGUUCGAGCGUCAUUUGUACCUUCAAGCUUUGCUUGGUGUUGGGUGUUUGUCUCGCCUUUGCGUGUAGACUCGCCUUAAAACAAUUGGCAGCCGGCGUAUUGAUUUCGGAGCGCAGUACAUCUCGCGCUUUGCACUCAUAACGGUGGCGUCCAAAAGUACAUUUUUUACACUCUUGACCUCGGAUCAGGUAGGGAUACCCGCUGAACUUAAGCAUAUCAUAGACCGGGAGGAAA
rnacentral:rRNA from 1 species